UUCCUGACAUGUCUGCUAGCAUUCAGAUGAAGACGUCUACAUUUUCCUACAAAAAGGAGGUUAGUUAGUCUUUUAUUAGCUAAUCCAAAUUUGACCCUAUCUAGACUGUGUGCUCCUGAUUUUCAUGUGCCAAAGAGAUUGAGAUGAGAUCCUCGAUUGGUUCCCUACAUUCCUCGAUGAGCUUAUUAUGGGUGUCGAGUCC
rnacentral:lncRNA from 1 species